GCAGGGCUGUGUGCUUUGAGGACCACUGCAGUCCAGAAACAAAGCAUCAAAUUGAUGUCUGCGUGUCCAAAUGAAGCCCAACAGUUUGACUUUCACAGAUGUAGUGCAUUGAGAAGAGCUCUGUCGUGGCAUCUCAAAUUUCUCAAGUUAAAGAAAGUAAAGCGUAUCCCUGAGCCAGUGAAAGAAAGAUACAAGCGGAGACAUUUGAACAACCAAAGAAAACAGUGACAAUCAGAAGAUCUUUUGUUGCUCCAGCACUCCUCGUGGAACUGAAGACGCCUCGGAAAGCUCUCCGUUUCCCUCUGGCAGGAAAGGCUUUGGGAUAAAGUUGCGUGCACGGAUCACAUCAUUAUUGCUCGUGGGACUUCUUCAAGUUCAGCGCCCCCUCCAGCAGAUGGCGCUCAAGGCAACCACCUAGUUCACCUAUGCCAAGAGCCGGCUCUGGGUGGGAUUCACCACACCUGGAAGCUGAUUGGCCAUCCCAGGUGUAAGAGAGUUACGGUGUGGAGAAGCCCCAAAUAAGUGUACCACUGCCCAGAGUGAAGCAUGGGGGUGGAUCAGUGAUGGUUUGGGGCUGCUACAUCAUGGCAUUCCCUUGGCCCAAUACUUGUGCUAAAUGGGCGUGUCACUGCCAAGGAACCAUUCUGGAGGACCAUGUGCAUCCAAUGGUUCAAACACUGUCCCCUGAAGGUGGUGCUGUGUAUCAGGAUGACAAUGAACCAAUACAAGCAAGACUGGUGAAAGAUUGAUUUGAUGAACAUGAAAGUGAAGUUGAACA